GGUAUAGGUGGCCGAGUGGUCAAAGGCGCUUGUUUGGAGUACAAGUUUUCGUAGGUUCGAAUCCUGCCCUAUCCU
rnacentral:tRNA from 1 species